CUGAGGUGUGGCUCGCACCUGUCCAACUAAAAUUGAGCUACCCAUUUUAACACGGUUGCAUCGGUUGGGACCUGUCCAAUAGCGCGACAGCGCUGGCGCGGCGGUUCCCGACACAUACCAAAAAACACUUUCUGAUAAUAUAGGAUUUUGAAUGAAAAAGGUUCAUUUUUUAUUGAUUUAAAAAAUGGGCUCCGACUGGUAAUGCGGUCGUCUAACCAUAAAUAACUUUUGGCAACGGAUCUCUUGGUUCUCCCAUCGAUGAAGAACGCAGCGAAUUGCGAUAAGUAAUGUGAAUUGCAGAAGUGAAUCAUCGAAUCUUUGAACGCACCUUGCGCUCCCUGCAGAUCUAAUCUGGGGAGCAUGCCUGUUUGAGGGCCGCGAAUUUGUUUCGAACGACAGUUUUUUCUUAACGAGAGAGCUGACGGAUCGGUAUUGAGGGUCUUGCCAUUCACCGUGGCUCCCUCGAAAUGCAUUAGCGCAUCCAUUUGAUAGGCAAGAACGGACGAAAGCUCAGAUUUUCGCCCUGCUUCUUCCCUGCCGGGUUUUGAUAAUAUCAGGACUUCGGAGGCGGAGAAAAAGGAGAAAGAGCUGGACGCGACGAUCUUGCUGGUUGGAGUGCUUCUGAACCCCGCCCAUGUCUUCUUCGGAAGGAAGGGAACAUUUUAAUUCAUCGGCCUCAGAUGGUAGGACUAC
rnacentral:rRNA from 1 species